GAGUUUGAUCAUGGCUCAGAUUGAACGCUGGCGGCAGGCCUAACACAUGCAAGUCGAGCGGUAGAGAGAAGCUUGCUUCUCUUGAGAGCGGCGGACGGGUGAGUAAUGCCUAGGAAUCUGCCUGGUAGUGGGGGAUAACGCUCGGAAACGGACGCUAAUACCGCAUACGUCCUACGGGAGAAAGCAGGGGACCUUCGGGCCUUGCGCUAUCAGAUGAGCCUAGGUCGGAUUAGCUAGUUGGUGAGGUAAUGGCUCACCAAGGCGACGAUCCGUAACUGGUCUGAGAGGAUGAUCAGUCACACUGGAACUGAGACACGGUCCAGACUCCUACGGGAGGCAGCAGUGGGGGAAUAUUGGACAAUGGGCGAAAGCCUGAUCCAGCCAUGCCGCGUGUGUGAAGAAGGUCUUCGGAUUGUAAAGCACUUUAAGUUGGGAGGAAGGGCAGUAAAUUAAUAACUUUGCUGUUUUGACGUUACCGGACAGAAUAAGCACCGGCUAACUCUGGCCAGCCG
rnacentral:rRNA from 1 species